GGAUGAACGCUGGCGGCGUGCUUAACACAUGCAAGUCGAACGGAAAGGCUCCUGCUUGCAGGGGUACUCGAGUGGCGAACGGGUGAGUAACACGUGGGUGAUCUGCCCUGCACUUCGGGAUAAGCCUGGGAAACUGGGUCUAAUACCGGAUAGGACGAUGGUUUGGAUGCCAUUGUGGAAAGUUUUUCGGUGUGGGAUGAGCUCGCGGCCUAUCAGCUUGUUGGUGGGGUAAUGGCCUACCAAGGCGUCGACGGGUAGCCGGCCUGAGAGGGUGUACGGCCACAUUGGGACUGAGAUACGGCCCAGACUCCUACGGGAGGCAGCAGUGGGGGAUAUUGCACAAUGGGCGCAAGCCUGAUGCAGCGACGCCGCGUGGGGGAUGACGGCCUUCGGGUUGUAAACUCCUUUCGCUAGGGACGAAGCGCAAGUGACGGUACCUGGAGAAGAAGCACCGGCUAACUACGUG
rnacentral:rRNA from 1 species